CCCCCCUCGUCCGCUCGUCCUACACCCUCCUCGUCUAUCCCUCGUCCUCCUCCUUCCAGUGGCCUCCGGAUCAUUCCUCUCCCUGACUCCAUGCUCUCCGGCUUCAUGGCUCCUCGUUACGCUCACCAGGAUCGGAAGCGUCGCUCUUCACCUCAGCGCACUCAUCCUGCUAAAGUUACUAAACUUGCCUCCUCUUCUCCGCAGGUCCCUGAGCCAUCACCUGGACCUAAGGUGGAGCAGACGGAGGUCGAGCUGCAGGAGCGCGGGCUGGACAGGAGAGACGGGAAAAGAAAAAGGAGAAGAUCUGGGAGUCAAAGACCACCUCCCACCUAAGUUGGACGUAUCCUUUGUAUAUAACAUGUAAAUAGUGUGGCAAACUAAAGAAGUUCAAAUUUAAUAUUGUGUUCUUUUGUAAAUAGUGUGUGAUUGUGUGAAAGAAAAACAAAAAAACUAACAAAAAAAACUUUACAAUUUAGUGUGGUGUUAUUUUUCUGUUGUAAAUAGUGUGUUCUUGUGUGAAACAAAAACAAAACAAAAAACACAAAAAAAAGAGUUUAAGUUUAGUGUGGUGUUAUUAUUACCAUGUUGUAAAUAUUGAAAAUGCCCCUAAAACCAGGACUAAAUCAGGACUAAUCCAGGACUAAACCCCCCAACAUACAGAAAUGGUUAGGAAGUGUCUGCGGAGCUGAGGAGGGACUAUCAUGUGACCGAAGAGAGGCGCCAUCCACCAACCAGCAAGAAAUGUUCCCUGAUGUUCACCUUAUCCCAGGGCAACCGUCACCAGAGCAACACCUUCAAAAACCAAGACUAAACAAGAACUAAACCUCAGGAAGUGUCUGCGGAGCUCCUUCGCCCUCGAUCUGAACAUGAAAAGCUCAGACAUCGACCUCUUGUGCGCCGGACCAGGAUUUGUGCCCCGCCAAGUCUUCUUCACUUCUUUUGUGGAGAAAUUACAGGCCGAACAAGCAGUCCAAAUCCUUCAAGUUAUCGAGGAUGCUUUUGUUCCUGUCAUCAAGCUGGUUGUUGCUGGGAUUGAGGACUGGUUACAUCGAGGCACAGCUCAGACACUUGGUGGGCAUCUUGAAGAGGAACCCCAGCAUCCUCGAGGCCGGUCCCAGUCUCCAGACCUUUCCUGAAAAGAAUGGACUUAGCACAACGUGGGUCAUAGGCAUUAAACUCAGCCCCAACACCAAGAGUCUGAACCUGAACCCUGACGUCCUGACCUUCGUCUAGUCUGCGUACGCAAAGGCUCAACGUUUUUAGACCGAGGGCAUGCAGAUCGAGGCGGAGUAUGCCAAUGCCCAAACUUAUAAACUCGUCAUUCCCGGAUUAGGAGAGAGACAAGAGGAGUAUGAUGCGGUCGCGACGGAGAGACGAUCGGCCCCCAAGCGCCCCCACACCCCAGACUCUGAACCCGAGGCCAAGAGAGGAAAACAGAGCACAUCUCCGGUCGGACAAGCCAUUCAAACCUUUCAACCUAGACCCAGGAUUAUUAAGAAGGCCACCAAAGUCCACAGGAAAAUCUAAACCACCGUCUGGUUGGUGGUUUGGUCAGUGGCACUGGCUAAUUAUUGCAUUUAAAAAAAACAAAAACUCCCACCCGCCAUGAUUGUAUAUUAUACCCUAUAUCACAACAAUAAAACUCAAAAACAGUAU